GUGGGGAAUAUUGGACAAUGGGCGAAAGCCUGAUCCAGCCAUGCCGCGUGUGUGAAGAAGGCCUUCGGGUUGUAAAGCACUUUCAGUGAGGAAGAAGGCCUUCGGGUUAAUACCCUGGAGGAAGGACAUCACUCACAGAAGAAGCACCGGCUAACUCCGUGCCAGCAGCCGCGGUAAUACGGAGGGUGCGAGCGUUAAUCGGAAUUACUGGGCGUAAAGCGCGCGUAGGUGGCUUGAUAAGCCGGUUGUGAAAGCCCCGGGCUCAACCUGGGAACGGCAUCCGGAACUGUCAGGCUAGAGUGCAGGAGAGGAAGGUAGAAUUCCCGGUGUAGCGGUGAAAUGCGUAGAGAUCGGGAGGAAUACCAGUGGCGAAGGCGGCCUUCUGGACUGACACUGACACUGAGGUGCGAAAGCGUGGGUAGCAAACAGG
rnacentral:rRNA from 1 species